rnacentral:rRNA from 1 species
AACGAACGCUGGCGGCGCGCCUAACACAUGCAAGUCGAACGAGAAUCCGGGGCAACCCGGUAGUAAAGUGGCAAACGGGUGAGGAAUACAUGGGUAACCUACCCUUGAGAAGGGAAUAACCCGCCGAAAGGUGAGCUAAUACCCUAUACGCUAUCUUUUUUUCGAAAAGGAUAGGAAAGACCGGGUCGAGGACCUGGUACUCAAGGAGGGGCUCAUGUCCUAUCAGCUUGUUGGUGGGGUAACGGCCUACCAAGGCUACGACGGGUAGCUGGUCUGAGAGGAUGAUCAGCCACACUGGCACUGAGAUACGGGCCAGACUCCUACGGGAGGCAGCAGUGAGGAAUAUUGCGCAAUGGGCGAAAGCCUGACGCAGCGACGCCGCGUGGGGGAUGAAGGUUUCGGAUUGUAAACCCUUCAUGAGGAAGAUAAGUGGGUAACCACUUAGACGGUACCUCAAGAAGAAGCCACGGCUAACUUCGUG